rnacentral:rRNA from 1 species
GCCUACGGGAGGCAGCAGUCGGGAAUAUUGCGCAAUGGAGGAAACUCUGACGCAGUGACGCCGCGUAUAGGGCGAAGGUCUUCGGAUUGUAAACUAUUGUCGUUAGGGAAGAGAAAGGACAGUACCUAAGGAGGAAGCUCCGGCUAACUACGUGCCAGCAGCCGCGGUAAUACGUAGGGAGCAAGCGUUAUCCGGAUUUACUGGGUGUAAAGGGCGCGUAGGCGGGAUGGCAAGUCAGAUGUGAAAUCCAGGGGCUCAACCCCUGAACUGCAUUUGAAACUGUCGUUCUUGAGUACUGGAGAGGU